UACGUAGGUGGCGAGCGUUGUCCGGAUUUACUGGGCGUAAAGGGCGUGCAGGCGGUUUGUUAAGUGCAGAGUGAAAGCUCCCGGCUCAACUGGGAGAGGUCUUUGCAUACUGGCAAACUCGAGGGAGGCAGAGGAAAGUGGAAUUCCCGGUGUAGUGGUGAUAUGCGUAGAUAUCGUGAGGAAGACCAGUGGCGAAGGCGGGUCUCUGGACAGUUCCUGACACUGAGCACGAAGGCCAGGGGAGCAAACGGG
rnacentral:rRNA from 1 species